rnacentral:rRNA from 1 species
UACGUAGGGGGCAAGCGUUGUCCGGAAUCAUUGGGCGUAAAGAGCGUGUAGGCGGUCCGGUCAGUCGGUUGUGAAAGUCAAGGGCUCAACCCUUGAAUGCCGGCCGAUACUGCCGGGCUAGAGUCCGGAAGAGGAGAGUGGAAUUCCUGGUGUAGCGGUGAAAUGCGCAGAUAUCAGGAAGAACACCCGUGGCUAAGGCGGCUCUCUAGUACGGUACUGACGCUGAGACGCGAAAGCGUGGGGAGCGAACAGG